GCUUAACACAUGCAAGUCGAGGGGCAGCAUGCUUUUAGCUUGCUAAGGCCGAUGGCGACCGGCGCACGGGUGAGUAACACGUAUCCAACCUGCCGUCUACUCUUGGACAGCCUUCUGAAAGGAAGAUUAAUACAAGAUGGCAUCAUGAGUCCGCAUGUUCACAUGAUUAAAGGUAUUCCGGUAGACGAUGGGGAUGCGUUCCAUUAGAUAGUAGGCGGGGUAACGGCCCACCUAGUCUUCGAUGGAUAGGGGUUCUGAGAGGAAGGUCCCCCACAUUGGAACUGAGACACGGUCCAAACUCCUACGGGAGGCAGCAGUGAGGAAUAUUGGUCAAUGGGCGAGAGCCUGAACCAGCCAAGUAGCGUGAAGGAUGACUGCCUUAUGGGUUGUAAACUUCUUUUAUAAAGGAAUAAAGUCGGGUAUGGAUACCCGUUUGCAUGUACUUUAUGAAUAAGGAUCGGCUAACUCCGUGCCAGCAGCCGCGGUAAUACGGAGGAUUCGAGCGUUAUCCGGAUUUAUUGGGUUUAAAGGGAGCGUAGAUGGAUGUUUAAGUCAGUUGUGAAAGUUUGCGGCUCAACCGUAAAAUUGCAGUUGAUACUGGAUAUCUUGAGUGCAGUUGAGGCAGGCGGAAUUCGUGGUGUAGCGGUGAAAUGCUUAGAUAUCACGAAGAACUCCGAUUGCGAAGGCAGCCUGCUAAGCUGCAACUGACAUUGAGGCUCGAAAGUGUGGGUAUCAAACAGGAUUAGAUACCCUGGUAGUCCACACGGUAAACGAUGAAUACUCGCUGUUUGCGAUAUACGGCAAGCGGCCAAGCGAAAGCGUUAAGUAUUCCACCUGGGGAGUACGCCGGCAACGGUGAAACUCAAAGGAAUUGACGGGGGCCCGCACAGGCGGAGGAACAUGUGGUUUAAUUCGAUGAUACGCGAGGAACCUUACCCGGGCUUAAAUUGCAGAUGAAUUACGGUGAAAGCCGUAAGCCGCAAGGCAUCUGUGAAGGUGCUGCAUGGUUGUCGUCAGCUCGUGCCGUGAGGUGUCGGCUUAAGUGCCAUAACGAGCGCAACCCUUGUUGUCAGUUACUAACAGGUUCUGCUGAGGACUCUGACAAGACUGCCAUCGUAAGAUGUGAGGAAGGUGGGGAUGACGUCAAAUCAGCACGGCCCUUACGUCCGGGGCUACACACGUGUUACAAUGGGGGGUACAGAGGGCCGCUACCACGCGAGUGGAUGCCAAUCCCAAAAACCUCUCUCAGUUCGGACUGGAGUCUGCAACCCGACUCCACGAAGCUGGAUUCGCUAGUAAUCGCGCAUCAGCCACGGCGCGGUGAAUACGUUCCCGGGCCUUGUACACACCGCCCGUCAAGCCAUGGGAGCCGGGGGUACCUGAAGUGCGUAAACGGGAGGAGCGCCCUAGGGUAAAACUGGUG
rnacentral:rRNA from 1 species